GGGUGAUGGCGUGCCUUUUGUAGAAUGAACCGGCGAGUUACGAUAUCGUGCGAGGUUAAGCAGAAGAUGCGGAGCCGUAGCGAAAGCGAGUCUGAAUAGGGCGAAGAGUACGAUGUUGUAGACCCGAAACCGUGUGAGCUAGCCAUGAGCAGGCUGAAGGUCAGGUAACACUGACUGGAGGGCCGAACCAGGGCACGUUGAAAAGUGCUUGGAUGACUUGUGGCUAGGGGUGAAAUUCCAAUCGAACACGGAUAUAGCUGGUUCUCUCCGAAAUAGCUUUAGGGCUAGCCUCGAUGUUAAGUCUACUGGAGGUAGAGCACUGAAUGGGUGAUGGCCCCACCUCGGGGUACUGAUCUCAAUCAAACUCCGAAUGCCAGAUAGAUAUAAUCGGGAGUCAGACUGUGGGUGAUAAGGUCCAUGGUCAAAAGGGAAAGAGCCCAGACCGCCAGCUAAGGCCCCCAAGUGUCCGUUAAGUGGAAAAGGAUGUGGAGAUGCACAGACAACUAGGAGGUUGGCUUAGAAGCAGCCAUCCUUUAAAGAGUGCGUAAUAGCUCACUAGUCGAGUGACUCUGCGCCGAAAAUGUACCGGGGCUAAACGGACCGCCGAAGCUGCGGAUUGACUUUAGAGUCAGUGGUAGGAGAGCGUUCUAACAGCGGUGAAGCAGUACCGGAAGGAGCUGUGGAGCGGUUAGAAGUGAGAAUGCCGGUGUGAGUAGCGAAAGAUAGGUGAGAAUCCUAUCCAUCGAAAGCCUAAGGUUUCCAGGGGAAGGCUCGUCCGCCCUGGGUAAGUCGGGACCUAAGGUGAGGCCGAAAGGCGUAGCCGAUGGACAACAGGUUGAUAUUCCUGUACCACUUAUUAAACUGAUGGAGUGACGGAGAAGGCUAAGUUGAGCGUGUGAUUGGAUUCACGUGUAAGCAGUGAGGUGGUCAUGUAGGCAAAUCCGCAUGGCAUAACAUUGAGCUGUGAUGCCGAAGCCGAAUGGCGAAGUCAACUGACGUCACGCUUCCAAGAAAAGCUUCUAGGGUUAAUUUAAUAAGUGCCCGUACCGAUAACCGACACAGGUAGGCGAGGAGAGAAUCCUAAGAUGAGCGAGAGAACUCUUGUUAAGGAACUCGGCAAAAUGACCCCGUAACUUCGGGAGAAGGGGUGCUUGUGAAAGCAAGCCGCAGUGAAUAGGCCCAGGCGACUGUUUAUCAAAAACACAGGUCUCUGCUAAACCGCAAGGUGAUGUAUAGGGGCUGACGCCUGCCCGGUGCUGGAAGGUUAAGAGGAGAGGUUAGCGCAAGCGAAGCUUUGAAUUGAAGCCCCAGUAAACGGCGGCCGUAACUAUAACGGUCCUAAGGUAGCGAAAUUCCUUGUCGGGUAAGUUCCGACCCGCACGAAAGGCGUAACGAUCUGGGCGCUGUCUCAACAAGAGACUCGGUGAAAUCAUAGUACCUGUGAAGAUGCAGGUUACCCGCGACAGGACGGAAAGACCCCGUGGAGCUUUACUGUAGCUUGAUAUUGAGCACUCGGUGGCACAUGUACAGGAUAGGUAGGAGACGAAGAAACCAGGACGCCAGUCUUGGUGGAGUCGCUGUUGGGAUACUACCCUUGUAGUCACUGGGGUUCUAACCCGUGGCCCUUAUCGGGUCAGGGAACAGUGUCAGGUGGGCAGUUUGACUGGGGCGGUCGCCUCCCAAAGAGUAACGGAGGCGCCCAAAGGUUCCCUCAGAAUGGUUGGAAAUCAUUCGAAGAGUGUAAAGGCAGAAGGGAGCUUGACUGCGAGACCUACAAGUCGAGCAGGGACGAAAGUCGGG
rnacentral:rRNA from 1 species